UCACCAAGGGACAGAUGCACCUCCGAUAAA
rnacentral:piRNA from 1 species